rnacentral:lncRNA from 1 species
CAGUGCUUACUAUAGCACUGCAAGUAGAGCAGUUAUCACCUGAUUUGGUCAAUUGUCAUGUUGGAGAAAAUGAUCAUCGAAAACUAAUAUUAUUAGAAGAGAUUAAACAAAAUAAUCAAACUAUAAUUUUUCUUCUGCAACAAGUAUCAGCACAACAGCAGCGUGGUAAUAUAGAAACAAGUUUUGAUGAGUUUGGGCUUCCUGUUUCAUUAAUGGAAUAUAUACAAAAACUAGAAACUGAUUGCCUUGACAAUGACCUCUGAGGAAAGCUUAUGCUGUUCGGCGUAAUCCUACAACAUGUCGCGGUACGGAUGCAAGGUUGCUUGUGCCAUUAAAGCAUGGCUUCGAUUCGCGAAAUUCGUGUGGAGGGGGGAGAAGAAACAUCAU